UCUUGUCGUCUUCAUCUUCUUUCCCACUCCAUUUAACAUGUCAAUUUCAACACAAUCCAUUACGAAAUUCACACACUGACACACCCUCGCGAAAUUCACACACUGACACACCCUUGCGAAAUUCACACACCCGUUACCUUGUUUCUCUCACCCCCACCAAAGAUACAUGCUUACAUAACUCAUAUUGAUUUUGAAACAAAAAUCAUUUCACCAUACCCACACCUUUAUCAUGCAAUAAAAAGAAGCAAGAAUAAAAGUUGAUCUUGUGAAGAAAAUAAUAGAGUAACUAUUGAAACAGAAGAAGAAAGCAGUAAGAGCUACAAUUUUGUUCUAGGUUACUCCAUAUUUGCUACCAUUUU
rnacentral:lncRNA from 1 species